GAUGAACGCUGGCGGCGUGCCUAAUACAUGCAAGUCGAGCGAACGGACGAGAAGCUUGCUUCACUGAUGUUAACGGCGGACGGGUGAGUAACAUGUGGAUAACCUACCUAUAAGACUGGGAUAACUUCGGGAAACCGGAGCUAAUACCGGAUAAUAUUUUGAACCGCAUGGUUCAAAAGUGAAAGACGGUCUUGCUGUCACUUAUAGAUGGAUCCGCGCUGCAUUAGCUAGUUGGUAAGGUAACGGCUUACCAAGGCAACGAUGCAUAGCCGACCUGAGAGGGUGUUGGGCCACACAGGAACUGAGACACGGUCCAGACUCCGACGGGAGGCAGCGGUAGGGAAGCGUCGGAAAUGUGCGAAAGCCUGAAGGAUCAGCGCCGCGUGAGUGAUGAAGGUCUUCGGAUCGUAAAACUCUGUUAUUAGGGAAGAACAUAUGUGUAAGUAACUGUGCACAUCUUGACGGUACCUAAUCUGAAAGCCACGGCUAACUACGUG
rnacentral:rRNA from 1 species